GAUUUAAGUUUAUCCUUUGGAUUUAGUGUUUAGGUCUUAAGGUUUAUAAUGUGGAGGUAAGAAUUUGGUAAAACAUAAUAGUAGCUCUCAAACAUGUAAUUGAAAUAGUUGUUAGCUUGAUAAAACUUUAUAAGAACAACGAAGUUUUAAUAUUGGUUGUAAAUGGCGAUUAAAUCAUAAUGUAAUAAGUUAUCCUAAGUCUUCUUCUGGUUUUCUUUAUAUAUCAUGACCAACACUCUUUGUGCCUUAGUAUCUAGGAAAGAUGAAAUUGCAAAUAUAUAUA
rnacentral:lncRNA from 1 species